rnacentral:rRNA from 1 species
CGAUGAAGCCCUUCGGGGUGGAUUAGUGGCGAACGGGUGAGUAACACGUGGGCAAUCUGCCCUGCACUCUGGGACAAGCCCUGGAAACGGGGUCUAAUACCGGAUACGACUUUCGGAGGCAUCUCUGAAGGUGGAAAGCUCCGGCGGUGCAGGAUGAGCCCGCGGCCUAUCAGCUUGUUGGUGGGGUGAUGGCCUACCAAGGCGACGACGGGUAGCCGGCCUGAGAGGGCGACCGGCCACACUGGGACUGAGACACGGCCCAGACUCCUACGGGAGGCAGCAGUGGGGAAUAUUGCACAAUGGGCGAAAGCCUGAUGCAGCGACGCCGCGUGAGGGAUGACGGCCUUCGGGUUGUAAACCUCUUUCAGCAGGGAAGAAGCGAAAGUGACGGUACCUGCAGAAGAAGCGCCGGCUAACUACGUGCCAGCAGCCGCGGUAAUACGUAGGGCGCAAGCGUUGUCCGGAAUUAUUGGGCGUAAAGAGCUCGUAGGCGGCUUGUCGCGUCGGAUGUGAAAGCCCGGGGCUUAACCCCGGGUCUGCAUUCGAUACGGGCAGGCUAGAGUUCGGUAGGGGAGAUCGGAAUUCCUGGUGUAGCGGUGAAAUGCGCAGAUAUCAGGAGGAACACCGGUGGCGAAGGCGGAUCUCUGGGCCGAUACUGACGCUGAGGAGCGAAAGCGUGGGGAGCGAACAGGAUUAGAUACCCUGGUAGUCCACGCCGUAAACGUUGGGAACUAGGUGUGGGCGACAUUCCACGUCGUCCGUGCCGCAGCUAACGCAUUAAGUUCCCCGCCUGGGGAGUAC